rnacentral:rRNA from 1 species
GACGAACGCUGGCGGCGUGCCUAAUACAUGCAAGUCGAGCGAGACUCUUCGGAGUCUAGCGGCGGACGGGUGAGUAACACGUGGGCAACCUGCCUGUAAGACUGGGAUAACACCGGGAAACCGGUGCUAAUACCGGAUAAUCCUUAUUCUCUUAUGAGGAAAAGCUGAAAGUCGGUUUCGGCUGACACUUACAGAUGGGCCCGCGGCGCAUUAGCUAGUUGGUGAGGUAACGGCUCACCAAGGCGACGAUGCGUAGCCGACCUGAGAGGGUGAUCGGCCACACUGGGACUGAGACACGGCCCAGACUCCUACGGGAGGCAGCAGUAGGGAAUCUUCCACAAUGGACGAAAGUCUGAUGGAGCAACGCCGCGUGAGCGAUGAAGGCCUUCGGGUCGUAAAGCUCUGUUGUUAGGGAAGAACAAGUACCGGAGUAACUGCCGGUACCUUGACGGUACCUAACCAGAAAGCCACGGCUAACUACGUGCCAGCCGCCGCCGUAAUAC